ACAAACUUGGUCAUUUAGAGGAAGUAAAAGUCGUAACAAGGUCUCCGUAGGUGAACCUGCGGAGGGAUCAUUACAGGGUUCGUGCCCCCUGGGCAGACCUCCCACCCACUGUUAUCACUACGACCGUUGCUUUGGCGGGCCGCCGGGCCCUGCCCGGCCGGCGGCCCCGGCCGUCGCGCGCCCGCCAGAGGCCCCCAGACUCUGAGUAUUAGUGUCGUCCGAGUAGUAUAUAAUCGUUAAAACUUUCAACAACGGAUCUCUUGGUUCUGGCAUCGAUGAAGAACGCAGC
rnacentral:misc_RNA from 1 species